rnacentral:tRNA from 1 species
AGCUCUGUGGUGUAUUACAUGUUGGAUUGCAAAUUCAAAGAUGCAGAUUAGUUGUCUGCCGGGGCUU